rnacentral:misc_RNA from 1 species
AACGCAUCUUGCGCUCCUUGGUAUUCCGAGGAGCAUGCCUGUUUGAGUGUCGUGAAUAUCUCUCAAUCUCAAAUGUUUUUCGUUUGAAAUUGGACUUGGGCGUUGUCGUGUUUUGAUUGACUCGCCCUAAAUACAUUAGCGAUCUGCCCCUGAUCACACAACAAUGUGAUAAGUUUUUAAGCAUUGUUAUGGUUGGGUUUGAUGGAUGGCUUCUAACCGUCGUUAAGACAGCAUGUCAUGUCAUUUGACCUCAAAUCAGGUAGGACUACCCGCUGAACUUAA